rnacentral:rRNA from 1 species
UACGGAGGGUGCGAGCGUUGUCCGGAAUUACUGGGCGUAAAGGGCGCGUAGGCGGCCUUCUAAGUCGAACGUGAAAUCCCUGGGCUCAACCCAGGAACUGCGUCCGAUACUGGAAGGCUUGAAUCCGGGAGAGGGAUGUGGAAUUCCAGGUGUAGCGGUGAAAUGCGUAGAUAUCUGGAGGAACACCGGUGGCGAAGGCGACAUCCUGGACCGGUAUUGACGCUGAGGCGCGAAAGCCAGGGGAGCAAACGGG